rnacentral:misc_RNA from 1 species
UCCGGCUUAUCACCGGCAGUUUCCUCAGAGUUCUCAGCAUUACCUGUUAGCAACAGAGGAUGAGGGUUGCGCUCGUUGCGGGACUUAACCCAACAUCUCACGACACGAGCUGACGACAGCCAUGCAGCACCUGUGCUCCUCCCACCCGAGGUGAAGGGAUGUGUUUCCACAUCCCAUAGAGGGCAUGUCAAGGCCUGGAUAAGGUUCUUCGCGUUGCCUCGAAUUAAACCACAUGUUCCACCGCUUGUGCGGGUCCCCGUCAAUUCCUUUGAGUUUUAAUCUUGCGACCGUACUCCCCAGGCGGGGUGCUUAACGCGUUAGCUACACUACCGAAAUGAAAUCCCGACAGCUAGCACCCAUCGUUUACAGCGUGGACUAC